CCCAUCGUCGCGCUUAAUCCUGAGGAGGAGUACUGUUCAUCGAAGAGAAUGACGAAAUAACGGUGGCGCCCAUCCCUCUGUUGUGGUUUGACGUGAGUAUGAAACAACGGCGUGAGGCCAAGCAAAAUUUUGGGGCGGACAUCUUUUCUCGUGUGCGAGCCUACCGAGCACCAGCCCCUGACUGGCCUUCGUUCAGAGCAUCAAGUUUGCAGAAAUGCACCUUCGACGCUCAGCUGCUUAGGCCGUGAUAGACCUGCACAUCCAGAAUGGGCACC